AUGAGUGACAUAGCAACUUACCUGGUACGCCGAGAGCUUGUGAAUUCUGGUCUCAAGUUCAACGAUCGACCAGAAAAUUAUUGGGCAUGGAGGUCUUCGUUCUGCAACGCCAUUGGAGGGCUAAACUUAACUGCUAGCGAGGAGCUCAACCUUUUAACAAAAUGGUUAGGCCCACAGUCUUCAGAGCACGUAAUGCGAGUCCGUUCCGUGCAUGUUGCCAGCCCUUCUACAGGAUUGAAGAUGGCCUGGGAACGCCUAGAGGAGUGCUAUGGUUCCCCUGAAGUAAUUGAAAGAGCUCUUUUUGACAGGAUAGAGAGUUUUCCUAAAGUCAGUCACAAGGAUCCCUUAAAGCUCAGGGAAUUAGGAGACCUGCUUAGGGAGCUAGAGUCUGCUAAGUCUGAAGGCUAUUUGCCUGGGCUCUCCUACCUAGACACCGCCAAGGGCGUCAACCCUAUAGUGGAAAAGUUGCCACCUGGUCUUCGAGAGAGGUGGUUAGUUCAAGGCUCAUUAUACAAAGAAGAGUACAGUGUUUCAUUUCCUCCACUUUCAUUCUUCAUGAACUUUGUAUGUAGUGAAGCAUGCAGAAGGAAUGACCCUAGCUUUACUCUCUCAACAGUCUCUACCACUCCGCCAGACAGUUCCUACAGGUUUUCAUCAGGAUCACCAAAACACGAACGAGGAGAGAGAAGAUCGGGAUAUUUCAAGACUCAGGUUUCUGCUCACAAGAUUGAAGUCGCAUCACAUCAACAGGCUUCUCAGCAAGAUGGCUCAAGUGGGAAGCUGAGUGACGUCGACAGAAAAUGUCCUAUUCACAAGAAACCUCAUCCUCUAAAAAAGUGCAGAGGUUUUCGGAGCAAACCACUCGAAGAGCGCAAGACACUUAAGGAACACAAUGUCUGUUUCAGAUGCUGUUCUUCUACUACUCACCUGGCAAAAAACUGUAAGGCAGCUUUAAAGUGUAAAGAAUGUGAUAGUGACGCUCACAUUUCUGCGCUUCACCCUGGACCGCCUCCGUGGAAUGUAGCAGACCCCUCCUCAGAGCAUGGCGGGGAGGGUGAACAAGAGCCUUCUCAGUCCGUGGUCACCUCGACGUGCACAGAGGUCUGUGAUGAAGCUAAAGGACCUAGAUCUUGCUCUAAAAUCUGUUUGGACACCAAGGAAAGGCCAUUAAAGUCUGUUAUUCUGGACGACCAGAGUAAUAGAUCAUUGGCAAAAUCUGAAUUCUUUAACCUCUUCCACAUCGGUGGGUCACACUCGCCAUAUACUCUCCGCACAUGUUCAGGAAUCACCGAGACAUUUGGGAGGAGAGCCACAGGAUUCAUGCCAGAAUCAUUGGAUGGUAAGACAAGUGUCGUGCUCACCACACUCAUUGAGUGCAAUCACAAGCCAGAUGAUCGGUCAGAGAUUCCGACUCCAGAAGUCGCACAGCACCACAGUCAUCUUACGCCCAUUGCUCACAGAAUACCACAGCUAGAUCCAGAAGCCCAGAUACUGUUGCUUCUAGGGCGUGACAUCCUGCAGGUUCACAAAGUCAGAAAGCAACGCAAUGGUCCAAACAAUGCGCCCGAUGCUCAGAGAUUAGACUUUGGUUGGGUAGUUAUAGGCAAUGUUUGCCUGGGCUCAGCACACAAGCCAGGUCCUGUAACUUCUUUCCGGACCAACAUUCUGGAAAACGGACGUUCAUCUUUUUUUACUCCAUGUCCUAAUCACCUCCAGGUCAAGGAGAGGUUUGACGUCGAGGCCCAGCAUUGCAACCCUUUGCAUGGACUUGCACACGACACUGCAAUGCUUGAGGACUGCAACCUUGGCAAUAUGAUCUUUCGGAGAACCAAGGACGAUAACAAAGUUGGUCUCUCCAUUGAAGAUAGACUCUUUCUACAGGUCAUGGCCAAAGAGAUGUUUAUGGACGAUACCAAUAGCUGGGUGGCACCACUUCCUUUUCAAUCCCCUCGGCAGCGGCUCCCAAACAAUCGGGACCAAGCUCUUACUCGCCUCAAAUCUCUUUGUCGUAUCUUAGAGAAAAAACCUGAGAUGAAAGCUUACUUUGUGAACUUCAUGCACAAGAUCUUCGAUCACGAUCAAGCCGAGCUAGCUCCACCACUGCUUGAGGGAGAGGAACGAUGGUACUUACCCAUCUUUAGCGUAUACCAUCCUCGCAAGCCAAGUCAGAUCAGAGUUGUCUUCGACUCCAGUGCACAGCAUUGUGGCGUCUGUCUGAAUGACGUGCUACUUACUGGGCCAGAUCUCAACAACAGCCUACUGGGAGUCUUGCUGCGCUUCCGAAAAGAGGCAGUGGCUGUGAUAGGGGACAUCGAGCAGAUGUUUCACAGUUUUAUCGUCAGGGAAGAUCACAGAGACUUUCUUCAGUUUUUGUGGUUCAAGGACAACGACCUCAACAAAGAGAUUGUCGAGUACCGAAUGAAAGUUCAUGUAUUCGGCAACAGCCCAUCUCCAGCCGUAGCCAUCUAUGGUCUUCGUCGAGCAGCUCAGCACGGAGCAAAUGAGUACGGUAUGAAUGUCAGAGAUUUUGUGGAACGUAACUUCUACGUCGACGAUGGUCUCAAGUCACUCCCAACAGCGGCCGAUGCUAUUGACCUCCUGAAAAGAGUACAGGACAUGCUUGCAAUCUCCAAUUUGCGGCUUCAUAAGAUAGCAUCAAACCACCCUGAUGUCCUGAAGGCCUUCCAUCCAGAAGACCACGCAAGGGACCUGCAGAAUGUAGACUUUGAUGACAACUCAUCUCUCAUCCAACGCAGCUUAGGGUUAAGCUGGGAUCUCAAACAGGAUGUUUUCACCUUCAGAGUGGUGCCAGCAGAGAAACCUUUCACCCGUAGGGGUGUCUUAGCCACAGCCUGUUUGACCCUCUCGGAUUUGUCGCACCAGUCGUCAUCCGAGGGAAGUUCCUGCUGCGAGAGCUCACCAACAGCGAAGCUCUUGACUGGGAUAGCCCUCUGCCAGAGGACAAAGAAGCAGAAUGGAGAAUAUGGACAGACUCCUUGCAAGAUCUAA
rnacentral:lncRNA from 1 species